CCAUAUGGCCCCCUAUUCCAUAUAUAGUCCCAUAUGGCCCCCUAUUCCAUAUAUAGUCCCAUAUGGCCCCCUAUUCCAUAUAUAGUCCCAUAUGGCCUCUAUUCCCUACAUAGUCCCAUAUGGCCCCCUAUUCCGUAUAUAGUCCCAUUGGGGCUCUGGUCAAAACAGGGAAUAGUUUGCCCUUUGGAACGUUGCCUGAGUCGUUUGAUUGGACGAAAAUAGACAAAGGCGACAGGAGGAUUGUGGUGAGGUCAAGAGUUCAAUGCCCCCCCAAAAAAAAAAAAAAAAGUGAAUGAAGAAAAAAUAAAUCAGAAGGACAAGGAAGUGAAACAGAAGAGACUUGUCUUCUUAGAAUCAGAUACAUUAUGACAUCAUCACAACUUAGAACCACGGCAUGACACAACCAGGAAAUGACAGCAACGCAAUACUAUGGAAACCAAAGCAGACAGAGGAGCAAGCUGAUAGGAUGAAGGGAGUAGGGGAGACCAGGAAGGGGUUUAGGUUAUAUAACUAUAUAACAGGUUAAUUAGGAUGAAGGGAGUAGGGGAGACCAGGAAGGGGUUUAGGUUAUAUAACUAUAUAACAGGUUAAUUAGGAUGAAGGGAGGAGGGGAGACCAGGAAGGGGUUUAGGUUAUAUAACUAUAUAACAGGUUAAUUAGGAUGAAGGGAGUAGGGGAGACCAGGAAGGGGUUUAGGUUAUAUAACUAUAUAACAGGUUAAUUAGGAUGAAGGGAGUAGGGGAGACCAGGAAGGGGUUUAGGUUAUAUAACAGGUUAAUUAGGAUGAAGGGAGUAGGGGAGACCAGGAAGGGGUUUAGGUUAUAUAACAGGUUAAUUAGGAUGAAGGGAGUAGGGGAGACCAGGAAGGGGUUUAGGUUAUAUAACUAUAUAACAGGUUAAUUAGGAUGAAGGGAGGAGGGGAGACCAGGAAGGGGUUUAGGUUAUAUAACUAUAUAACAGGUUAAUUAGGAUGAAGGGAGUAGGGGAGACCAGGAAGAGGUUUAGGUUAUAUAACUAUAUAACAGGUUAAUUAGGAUGAAGGGAGGAGGGGAGACCAGGAAGGGGUUUAGGUUAUAUAACUAUAUAACAGGUUAAUUAGGAUGAAGGGAGUAGGGGAGACCAGGAAGGGGUUUAGGUUAUAUAACUAUAUAACAGGUUAAUUAGGAUGAAGGGAGUAGGGGAGACCAGGAAGGGGUUUAGGUUAUAUAACAGGUUAAUUAGGAUGAAGGGAGUAGGGGAGACCAGGAAGGGGUUUAGGUUAUAUAACAGGUUAAUUAGGAUGAAGGGAGUAGGGGAGACCAGGAAGGGGUUUAGGUUAUAUAACAGGUUAAUUAGGAUGAAGGGAGUAGGGGAGACCAGGAAGGGGUUUAGGUUAUAUAACAGGUUAAUUAGGAUGAAGGGAGGAGGGGAGACCAGGAAGGGGUUUAGGUUAUAUAACUAUAUAACAGGUUAAUUAGGAUGAAGGGAGUAGGGGAGACCAGGAAGGGGUUUAGGUUAUAUAACUAUAUAACAGGUUAAUUAGGAUGAAGGGAGGAGGGGAGACCAGGAAGGGGUUUAGGUUAUAUAACUAUAUAACAGGUUAAUUAGGAUGAAGGGAGUAGGGGAGACCAGGAAGGGGUUUAGGGUCAUAGAACAUGUCACACAAUGACAAGGAAGCGAUUGAUGGGUACUUUGAGUUUCAUAGUUAAACGACCUGGAACAACGAUGGUGGAAAUGGAAAAGAGGGACGAGGUCUGUUAUCUCUGAAUGUGACUCAAAUGGCACCUGAUUCUCUACACUGUGCACUAUAUUUUCCCAUACACGGCUCAUAGGGUUCUGGUCAAAAAGUAGUGCACUAUUAUAGGGAAUACUAGUGCCAUUUGGGAAACAGCCUGGUUCUGUGGCGGUCCUCCCAGACAAUCAUCUCUUACCUCUUAUAGGCGUGCCACCUGAUUGGUCAAUGAAUGCAAAUCAGAUUAGAGAAGAAGAAGAAAUGUUAGUAGGUGGGGAGGGGAGGAAGACAGAAAGAGAGGAAGAGAGGGAAGUGGUUGGCUUUGAGAGGAGAAGAAUCACAUUAGAUACUCACAAUUAUCAGGUCAAUAAAAGAGAGAGAGAGAUGGAGAGACAGAGAGAGACAGACAGAGAUAGACAGAGAGAGAGACAAAGUGAGAGAGAGAGAGAGAGAGAGAGAAAAGUGAGAGAGAGAGAGAGAGAGAAAGAGAGAGAUAGAGACAGAGAGAGCUACAAAUAUAUAUUAUUGCAAGUGCCCUGUGUAGUUGUUGUCCAUAGGGGAGAAUCCAUAGGGUCUGGACUGGGUUGAUGUCUGGACUAGGUUGAUGUCUGGACUGGGUUGGUAUCUGGACUGGGUUGGUGACUGAACUGGGUUGGUAUCUGGACUGGGUUGGUGUCUGGACUGGGUUGGUGUCUGGACUGGGUUGGUGUCUGGACUGGGUUGGUAUCUGGACUGGGUUGGUAUCUGGACUGGGUUGGUGUGUGGACUGGGUUGGUAUCUGGACUGGGUUGGUGUGUGGACUGGGUUGGUGUCUGGACUGGGUUGAUGUCUGGACUGGGUUGGUGUUGAUGUCUGGACUGGGUUGGUGUCUGGACUGUGUUGAUGUCUGGACUGGGUUGAUGUCUGGACUGGGUUGGUGUUGAUGUCUGGACUGGGUUGGUAUCUGGACUGGGUUGGUGUCUGGACUGGGUUGGUGUCUGGACUGGGUUGGUAUCUGGACUGGGUUGGUGUCUGGACUGGGUUGGUGUCUGGACUGGGUUGGUGUCUGGACUGGGUUGGUAUCUGGACUGGGUUGAUGUCUGGACUGGGUUGGUAUCUGGACUGGGUUGGUGUCUGGACUGGGUUGAUGUCUGGACUGGGUUGGUAUCUGGACUGGGUUGGUGUCUGGACUGGGUUGAUGUCUGGACUCGGUUGAUGUCUGGACUGGGUUGGUAUCUGGACUGGGUUGGUGUCUGGACUGGGUUGGUAUCUGGACUGGGUUGGUGUCUGGACUAGGUUGGUAUCUGGACUGGGUUGGUAUCUGAACUCGGUUGGUGUCUGGACUGGGAUGGUGUCUGGACUCGGUUGGUGUCUGGACUGGGUUGAUGUCUGGACUGGGUUGGUAUCUGGACUGGGUUGGUAUCUGGACUGGGUUGAUGUCUGGACUGGGUUGGUGUCUGGACUGGGUUGGUAUCUGGACUGGGUUGGUGUGUGGACUGGGUUGGUGUCUGGACUGGGUUGGUAUCUGGACUGGGUUGGUGUUGGUGUCUGGACUGGGGUGAUGUCUGGACUGGGUUGGUAUCUGGACUGGGUUGGUAUCUGGACGGGGUUGGUGUGUGGACUGGGUUGGUGUCUGGACUGGGCUGGUAUCUGGACUUGGUUGGUGUUGGUGUCUGGACUGGGUUGGUGCCUGGACUGGGUUGGUGUGGGUGUCUGGACUGGGUUGGUGUUGGUGUCUGGACUGGGUUGGUGUCUGGACUGGGUUGGUAUCUGGACUGUGUUGGUGUUGGUGUCUGGAAUGGGUUGAUGUCUGGACUGGGUUGGUAUCUGGACUGGGUUGGUGUUGGUGUCUGGACUGGACUGGACUGGGUUGGUGUCUGGACUGGGUUGGUAUCUGGACUGGGUUGGUGUCUGGACUGGUUUGGUAUCUGGACUGGGUUGGUGUCUGGACUGGGUUGGUGUCUGGACUGGGUUGGUGUCUGGACUAGGUUGGUAUCUGGACUGGGUUGGUAUCUGGACUGGGUUGGUGUCUGGACUGGGUUGGUAUCUGGACUGGGUUGGUGUCUGGACUAGGUUGGUGUUGGUGUCUGGACUGGGUUGGUGUCUGGACUGGGUUGGUAUCUGGACUGGGUUGGUAUCUGGACUGGGUUGGUGUCUGGGCUGGGUUGGUUCUGGACUGUGUUGGUAUCUGGACUGGGUUGGUAUCUGGACUGGGUUGGUGUCUGGACUGGGUUGAUGUCUGGACUGGGUUGGUGUCUGGACUGGGUUGGUGUCUGGACUGGGUUGGUAUUUGGACUGGGUUGGUAUCUGGACUGGGUUGAUGUCUGGACUGGUUUGGUGUCUGGACUGGGUUGGUGUCUGGACUGGGUUGGUGUCUGGACUGGGUUGGUAUUUGGACUGGGUUGGUAUCUGGACUGGGUUGGUGUCUGGACUGGGUUGGUAUUUGGACUGGGUUGGUAUCUGGACUGGGUUGAUGUCUGGACUGGGUUGGUAUCUGGACUGGGUUGAUGUCUGGACUGGGUUGGUAUCUGGACUGGGUUGGUAUCUGGACUGGGUUGAUGUCUGGACUGGGUUGGUUCUGGACUGGGUUGGUUCUGGACUGGGUUGAUGUCUGGACUGGGUUGGUAUCUGGACUGGGUUGGUAUCUGGACUGGGUUGAUGUCUGGACUGGUUUGGUUCUGGACUGGGUUGGUAUCUGGACUGGGUUGGUAUCUGGACUGGG